UUAGGGGUGGUUUUCCUGAGAUACCGACGCCGACGUAUCACGGUUGCGGUGGACCCUUUGAACCUGAUCCGGGUAACGCCGGCGUAGGGAUAGGUGGGA
rnacentral:ncRNA from 1 species